rnacentral:tRNA from 2 species
GCCCGGUUAGCUCAGUCGGUAGAGCAACCCUUACGUCCCUCUCAACGAGGCGGAUGACACCGAAAUGUCGGGGGUUCGAGCCCCCCAUUGGGCG